GACGAACGCUGGCGGCGUGCUUAAUACAUGCAAGUCAACUGAACUUUAGGUAGCAAUAUUUAAAGGGAGGUGGCGCACGGGUGAGUAACACGUAGGUAAUCUGCCUUCAGGACUGACAUAACUCCGCGAAAGCGGGACUAAAAUCAGAUGAUGCAGCGGCUCGACAUCGAGACAGUUGUUAAACCUUGGGGCCUGAAGAUGAGCCUGCGUCUGAUUAGGUAGUUGGAGGGGUAAUGGCCCACCAAGCCUGCGAUCAGUAGCUGGUCUGAGAGGAUGAUCAGCCACACUGGAACUGAGACACGGUCCAGACUCCUACGGGAGGCAGCAGUAAGGAUAUUGCUCAAUGGCCGAAAGGCUGAAGCAGCAACGCCGCGUGGAGGAUGAAAUACUUUAGUAUGUAAACUCCUGUAAGAGGGGAAAAUAUACAGUUCUGCUGUAUUGAUUGUACCCUCAGAGUAAGCACCGGCUAACUACGUCG
rnacentral:rRNA from 1 species